GGUUCCUUGCCAAACUGGUUCGACCGUUGAAGUCAGACAAAUUCUUUAUGUCUAAUGACCAAGUUCAUCUGGAGGUGGCAAUCAAAGCACUUGAAUCUCAGGGCGAUGACCCCCAGUGUGAAUCCAGAUAUGCAGCGAAGUGACUACGGCAGGACUGUCUCAUAUCCCAUUGACCCAGAAACUUCAUCCAAGCCAAUUAAGGUUCAAGUUUGUGGAUAUUAUCGUCUGCAACGUCGAGGGUGUAUUUUGGAGCCAUGGUUAUGGUGAUUACAUCAGCUGUUUGUGGUCUG